rnacentral:lncRNA from 1 species
AAUCGACGGUCCAUGAUAUAUGUUCUUUGCCUAAGUUUUUACAAUCAGAAUUUGUGAUUUCAUUUCAUUUAAUCACAGCCAUCAAUCAGAUCGAUGGCCUUCAGCUAAGUAGAUUCUCCACCCUGGAGUCCUUGACAAACGUCCUAUAAAUACCAUAGCUUCAUAGCCAUUGGGAAAUCAAAAAACAACUCAGUCUCAAUCCCCUCAAAAACCCUCCUAGGAUAAUACAUUGUCUGUACGUCUCCUGUAAAAAUGGCCGGAAACAACAUGCAGAAGAAAUCUUCAGAUGGUUCUUUCUCUCUUUUCAACAUCUUCAAAGGCAAAAGGUCGAGGGGUGGAAGAGUAGUUGAAGAUAUAAGAUAUAAUGAUUCUAUGAAGGCUUGCAAAAAAGUUUGGCCUAGUGAUGAAGAUGGAGUUUGGUAUGUGGCCAAGCCUGGAAUUGACAAGUUAGCUUCUACUUACAUCAUUUCAACUACAGAGAAGUGGAAAAGUGUAGCAGCGACCGACUAGUUAAUUAUCGGCAUAUCGUCUGAUUUAUUGUUACUUAAUUCCAUCUGCUGCAACUUCUACAUUCAUUAUGUGUUGAUUGAAAUUGUUAAAUAAUUCUUACUAUUGUUAUAGGAAGUGGUGUUUGAUCUAGUUAAGUUGUGAAAUGCUAAUAACAGUUAAUGAAUGAAUAAUGCCUG